UGUAAGCGUAUACCAAAGUUGUUGCAGUUAAAACGCUCGUAGUCGGAAUUUGGCAGUUCCGGAUGUGUGCACGUCGUGUGCGCACUUCGCGGGGAUUGCUUUUGUGGUCUUGCGUAGGAUGAGGCACUUUUAUUAGUGAACGUCCUCACGCAACCACUUUUUACUGUGAGAAAAUCAGAGUGCUCAAAGCAGGCAUUUGCCGUGAAUGAAUUAGCAUGGAAUAAUAGAAUAGGACUUGGUUCUAUUUUGUUGGUUUGUUGGGACUGAGUAAUGAUUAAGAGGGACAGUUGGGGGCAUUUGUAUUUCGGUGCUAGAGGUGAAAUUCUUAGAUUACCGAAAGACAAACUGCUGCGAAAGCGUCUGCCAAGGAUGUUUUCAUUGA
rnacentral:rRNA from 1 species